AUGAGUACUAUAAGUUGGAACUAUCGGGGGCUUGGGAACCCUUAGACAGUUUGAGAGCUUCGCAAGAUUGUGAAGCAAGAAGGUCCUGCCCUUCUGUUUGUAAUGGAGACUAAGAUAAAGGGCAAAAGAGUGGAAGAACUGAAAUUUACUUUAGGCUUCUCUGGUUGUUUUGCCGUCGAUGGUGACGGGCUUAGUGGAGGUAUUGGAUUGGUCUAA
rnacentral:rRNA from 1 species